AUUGAACGCUGGCGGCAUGCCUUACACAUGCAAGUCGAACGGUAACAGGUCUUCGUAUGCUGACGAGUGGCGAACGGGUGAGUAAUACAUCGGAACGUGCCCAGACGUGGGGGAUAACGAGGCGAAAGCUUUGCUAAUACCGCAUACGAUCUAAGGAUGAAAGCAGGGGACCGCAAGGCCUUGCGCGGUUGGAGCGGCCGAUGGCAGAUUAGGUAGUUGGUGGGAUAAAAGCUUACCAAGCCGACGAUCUGUAGCUGGUCUGAGAGGACGAGCAGCCACACUGGGACUGAGACACGGCCCAGACUCCUACGGGAGGCAGCAGUGGGGAAUUUUGGACAAUGGGCGAAAGCCUGAUCCAGCAAUGCCGCGUGCAGGAUGAAGGCCUUCGGGUUGUAAACUGCUUUUGUACGGAACGAAAAGGCUCUGGCUAAUACCUGGGGCACAUGACGGUACCGUAAGAAUAAGCACCGGCUAACUACGUG
rnacentral:rRNA from 1 species